UAUAGGAAAAAAUUAUGAUUAAAAUACUAAUUAAAAUGCUGCUUUUACUGAGUUUAAGCUUAAUAUUUUCAGAACUUUUUAGUGAAAAUACUUGACAUGUUUAAUAAUUAGGUGACUUGACCUCAUCUUCUAAUCAGGACAUGGACUACAUUCCCUGUUCUCCUUAUGAUAUAUUGCUCCACCCUCCAAAUAAUCGUUUGUAUUAUUCUAAUGCAGCAAAGGUAAGCUUUUAUCAUUAUAAACUGCAGCAAAUUAAAUGAUGCUUUCUAUUCAUAGCUUGACUCUGCUGCUGCUGCUAAGUCGCUUCAGUCGUGUCCGACUUUGUGUGACUCCAUAGACGGCAGCCCACCAGGCUCCCCCAUCCCUGGGAUUCUCCAGGCAAGAACACUGGAGUGCGUUGCCAUUUCCUUCUCCAGUGCGUGAAAGUGAAGUCGCUCAGUCGUGUCCGACUGUUUGCGACCCCAUGGACUGCAGCCCGCCAGGCUCCUCCAUCCAUGGGAUUUUCCAGGCAAGAGUACUGGAGUCGGGUGCCAUCGCCUUCUCCGAGCUUUACUCUAGUGAUAUAGAGAUAUAUGCAGCCUUUCUUACAAUGUAUUCAUUGAGCACAGAUACUAAUUUUCAUGAGCUGUUUGUAGUUUGGGCUUAAAAGGGCCCAAGAGUAUAUUCAGCAGGAAAGCAAAAUCAGAGAACUAAGGAAAACAAGCAUAAAAGAAGUUAUGACUAGUGAGAUUUUCUAUCUGUUUUCCUCUCUUAUAAUUGAAGUCUGGGUCGUUUACUAUCUUUGGUUGGAGAUCACUGUCCACUGUUAAGAUUUUAUAGCAGUUGCCUUUGAAAAUCUAAUAAGGAGCAGGGUAUAUUAACAUCAGAUAUUUGCACAAAAUUAUAUAUCAUAUUAAAUAAAAUACUGUAGUUAGGUGUACUUCACCGUCAUGUUGAUUAGGAUCAUCUUUGUGGGUGACGGUAAUUGUGACAGCAUUAUUUCCUUUCAGAAAAGGAGUCUUCAAGAAAGCAGUAUUUUUCUAAGAUCACCCAAAGUUGUCUGCCAGUAUGGAAGCUCCAAGUCGUACUCAGGGACCCUGUUUCCAGGCUCCUGUGAUGCUUGGCUUUUUCUUCCUAAAAGACCCUUCAGGGCUCGGACACCCUGCUUUUUGUGCCGGAGAAAAAACAAAACCCAGACUUGAACAGCACUAUAAAUGUUCUGAGUCUUGUCAGCAGGCCAGAUGUUACUGUUCUCUAUUGCCUUGUCUACGGCAACCUUAAAUGUGUUUGGCAAUUGCUGAUGCAGUUAAUGGCUUGGCAUGUCCACUUUGCUCAUGAUCCUGUAAAAGAAUGUGAAGACAUCGUUUGGACUGUCUACCUCAAGGAUUGAAUGUUAAAUAAGCACAUUUAGAAGUCAGAAAUCAAAUCCUGCAUUACAAUUUUUAACAGUGCUUACAGAAAAAAAUUUAAAAGCCUGAUAUAAAA
ensembl:lncRNA